ACUCUGGAAACCCUAGCGCCUCCUUUAACAUUCUAUGAAGAUCGAAGAGUUUCACAGUCACGAAACCCUAGCCCUCAUUAUCUUCCCUGUUUUUGAUUUAAAUGAAAACCCUAUAUCGCUCAUCCUCCUCUGCUGAUUCUCUAAUACAUCGUCCAUAUAAUCUCUAUCCUCUGAAGUUCUUAUUAUUGUGUCCCAGUUAUAAAGAUCCAGUUUCAAGAUAUGAAGCUUCAUGAAUAUUCAGUCUCAAAUCUUCAGGUAAUACUUUUUCUUCGUGAUGGAAAGCUGGUGUUUACAUUUGACCGACGUUCGUUCAGCAGCUACCGAUUGUAGACUGAUUCAACCUUCGUGAAACCCAAAAAUUUUUUGUCUCUUGAUUCCAGUUUUCACUAACGCACAUGUACUAUCAAUUUCAGGUUUUCUUUGCGGUUUACUUCCUCCAAUUCGUUCAGGCGUUUUGAGAAUAUGUCCAGUUAAUGUGUAUACGUUUGGUCCUACAUUCAGGGCAGAAAAUUCUAACACAUUUAGACAUUUAGCUGAAUUCUGGAUGAUUGAACCUGAGCUUGCAUUUGCAGACCUGAAUGAUGACAUGGCAUGUGCCACUGCCUAUCUUACUUCAUUGACCCUUGAUUAUUGGUGAAAUGGGGAUGUGAAUUGCGAAGUGAGCAUGAACUUUAUAUAACUGAGGAGGCUUUUAAUGGAUGUCCUGUCAUUAUAAUAGACUACCCUAAGGCA